rnacentral:lncRNA from 10 species
AGUGGGACCGAGCCUCUCUCUCUCUCUCUCUCUCUCUCUCUCUAUCUCUCUCUCUCUCUUUUUUUUCCCCCGGCAGAGAGAGGAAAACACGCGAGUGCACACACGGUGAUAUCUUGCGGGUGAUGAAUAUGAUAAUUGGACAAGGGACGGACAGAAGAGCUCCUUGGCACUGGAUGCCUCCGGGUCUGGUUGAGAGAGGAAUGGUUAGGAGACUGUUCUGAGGAUACGCAGACAUCAUCCAAAGCUUCCUACAUUCAGAUGAGGACAGAGGUUGGGCCAGAGCUUUGUAAGCUUGUUACCUAAGGAUGGUUCUGACCAUGUAAGCAGAUCACAGAAGGUAAGCCAUGCUGAAGAACUUACAAUAGUUAUACUUCCAGUUUGUCCAUUUUUAUCUCCAUGGGUAGCAAAUAGGUUCAUGAUGCUGUUAUUUCAAUUACUUUACAUCCUGCUAAUGGCUAGU